CACAAUGGGCGAAAGCCUGAUGCAGCAACGCCGCGUGAGGGACGAAGGUCUUCGGGUCGUAAACCUCUUUUCUGGGGGACGAGUAAGGACGGUACUCCAGGAAUAAGUCUCGGCUAACUACGUGCCAGCAGCCGCGGUAAAAUGUAGGAGGCGAGCGUUAUCCGGAUUUACUGGGCGUAAAGCGUACGCAGGUGGCUUCGUUAGUCGGACAUGAAAGCUCCUGGCUUAACUGGGAGAGGUUGUUCGAUACUGCGUGGCUUGAGUGUAGGAGCGGGACGAGGAAUACCCGGUGUAGUGGUGGAAUGCGUAGAUAUCAGGAAGAACACCAGUGGCGCAAGCAGCGUCC
rnacentral:rRNA from 1 species